GAUGAACGCUGGCGGCGUGCCUAAUACAUGCAAGUCGAGCGAACGGACGAGAAGCUUGCUUCUCUGACGUUAGCGGCGGACGGGUGAGUAACACGUGGAUAACCUACCUAGAAGACUGGGAUAACUUCGGGAAACCGGAGCUAAUACCGGAUGAUAUUUUGAACCGCAUGGUUCAAAAGUGAAAGACGGCCUUGCUGUCACUUAUAGAUGGAUCCGCGCUGCAUUAGCUAGUUGGUAAGGUAACGGCUUACCAAGGCAACGAUGCAUAGCCGACCUGAGAGGGUGAUCGGCCACACUGGAACUGAGACACGGUCCAGACUCCUACGGGAGGCAGCAGUAGGGAAUCUUCCGCAAUGGGCGAAAGCCUGACGGAGCAACGCCGCGUGUGCGAUGAAGGCCUUCGGAUCGUAAAGCUCUGUUAUUGGGGAGGAACAUAUGUGUAAGUAACUGUGCACAUCUUGACGGUACCUAAUCAGAAAGCCACGGCUAACUACGUG
rnacentral:rRNA from 1 species